GAGAGAAAGUCAUAGAGGUUAUGGGAUUGACUUGAAAUUAAUCUUAGGAGGUUCGAUUCCUUCCUUUCUUG
rnacentral:tRNA from 1 species